rnacentral:rRNA from 1 species
CGCUGGCGGCAUGCCUUACACAUGCAAGUCGAACGGCAGCGCGGGGCAACCUGGCGGCGAGUGGCGAACGGGUGAGUAAAAUAUCGGAACGUGCCCUGGAGUGGGGGAUAACGUAGCGAAAGUUACGCUAAUACCGCAUACGAUCUAAGGAUGAAAGUGGGGGACCGCAAGGCCUCAUGCUCCUGGAGCGGCCGAUAUCUGAUUAGCUAGUUGGUGGGGUAAAGGCCUACCAAGGCAUCGAUCAGUAGCUGGUCUGAGAGGACGACCAGCCACACUGGAACUGAGACACGGUCCAGACUCCUACGGGAGGCAGCAGUGGGGAAUUUCGGACAAUGGGCGCAAGCCUGAUCCAGCAAUGCCGCGUGAGUGAAGAAGGCCUUCGGGUUGUAAAGCUCUUUUGUCAGGGAAGAAACGGUGGUUCCUAAUACGGAUUGCUAAUGACGGUACCUGAAGAAUAAGCACCGGCUAACUACGUGCCAGCAGCCGCGGUAAUACGUAGGGUGCAAGCGUUAAUCGGAAUUACUGGGCGUAAAGCGUGCGCAGGCGGUUUUGUAAGUCUGUCGUGAAAUCCCCGGGCUCAACCUGGGAAUUGCGAUGGAGACUGCAAGGCUAGAAUCUGGCAGA